rnacentral:tRNA from 1 species
GCUUUCGUGGUGUAGUGGUCAGCACGCUGGGCGCGUAUUCCAGAGGUCCGUGGUUCGAGUCCCGGCGAAGGUG